rnacentral:snRNA from 1 species
GUGCUCACUUCAGCAGCACAUAUGUUACAAAUUGGAAUGACACAGAGAAGACUGAUAUGUCCCCUGAACAAGAAUGACAUACAAAUUUGUGAAGUGUUCUGUUUAAAA